rnacentral:rRNA from 1 species
UAGGGAAUCUUCCACAAUGGACGAAAGUCUGAUGGAGCAACGCCGCGUGAGUGAAGAAGGUUUUCGGAUCGUAAAGCUCUGUUAUUGGUGAAGAAGGAUAGAGGCAGUAACUGGUCUUUAUUUGACGGUAAUCAACCAGAAAGUCACGGCUAACUACGUGCCAA